rnacentral:rRNA from 1 species
UACAGAGGUCUCAAGCGUUGUUCGGAUUCAUUGGGCGUAAAGGGUGUGUAGGUGGCGCCGUAAGUCGGGUGUGAAAUUUCGGAGCUUAACUCCGAAACUGCAUUCGAUACUGCGGUGCUUGAGGACUGGAGAGGAGACUGGAAUUCAUGGUGUAGCAGUGAAAUGCGUAGAGAUCAUGAGGAACACCGAUGGCGAAGGCAGGUCUCUGGGCCACUACUGACGCUGAGAAGCGAAAGCAUGGGGAGCGAACAGG